rnacentral:rRNA from 1 species
CUGCCUUACACAGGGGGACAACAGUUAGAAAUGACUGCUAAUACCGCAUAAGCGCACGGGAACGCAUGUUUCUGUGUGAAAAACUCCGGUGGUGUAAGAUGGGCCCGCGUUGGAUUAGGUAGUUGGUGAGGUAACGGCUCACCAAGCCGACGAUCCAUAGCCGACCUGAGAGGGUGACCGGCCACAUUGGGACUGAGACACGGCCCAAACUCCUACGGGAGGCAGCAGUGGGGAAUAUUGCACAAUGGGCGCAAGCCUGAUGCAGCGACGCCGCGUGAGCGAAGAAGUAUUUCGGUAUGUAAAGCUCUAUCAGCAGGGAAGAAAAUGACGGUACCUGACUAAGAAGCUCCGGCUAAAUACGUGCCAGCAGCCGCGGUAAUACGUAUGGAGCAAGCGUUAUCCGGAAUUACUGGGUGUAAAGGGAGCGUAGACGGAUGUGCAAGUCUGAUGUGAAAGGCGGGGGCUCAACCCCUGGACUGCAUUGGAAACUGUAAAUCUUGAGUGCCGGAGAGGUAAGCGGAAUUCCUAGUGUAGCGGUGAAAUGCGUAGAUAUUAGGAGGAACACCAGUGGCGAAGGCGGCUUACUGGACGGUAACUGACGUUGAGGCUCGAAAGCGUGGGGAGCAAACAGGAUUAGAUACCCUGGUAGUCCACGCGGUAAAC